rnacentral:lncRNA from 8 species
AAAAGUACAGUGAAUCAAUUAAGUGUGAUCGUGCUCCCUUGAUUAUUUUGGCCCUGUUUUACCAUGGAAAGGAAUUUGAAAUAGGCUUACUUAGUUUUAAUAACAAGGUUAGACUAUGGUGAUAUAUGGUGCUGUAAGUGGGUGUUACUUUCCCUCUUUCUCUCUCUCUCUCUGCCAAAUGAAGUCCCUGGCUGACUGCCUGCCUGCGCAUAUGAGAGGAGGUGACCUGUGGAUGCAACAACCUUGGAUUGCCUUCUUUGACUCUGAUCUCAACCAAAAAUAACUGUAUAUUUUGAUGGUCAGACUUGAAUUGUACUGUAUGUUUUAUUGACCAGGUUUAUUAUUUAGUUUCCUGUAAGUGGAUCAAAAAUAUUUUAUUUUAGAUGAGUUAAAGUGAUUGCAUGUUUACGUCUCAUUAUUUUUGAUUAGCUCUAUUAUUUGUCCAAGCAAAGUGAUUGAGAAGGCUAUGAUCAAUAUCCAAAAACGUAUCCACUUAUCCAAAAACAUAAAAUGUAUACUGAACAAAAAUAUAAACGCACCAUGCAACAAUUUCAAAUAUUUUACUGAAUUACAGUUCAUAUAAGGAAAUCAGUCAAUUGAAAGAAAUAAAUUAGGUGCAAAUCUAUGGAUUUCACAGGCGCAGCCAUCAGUGGGCCUAUAUAGGCCCACCCAUUUGGGAGCCAGGCCCACCCACUGGGGAGUCAGGCCCAACCAAUCAGAAUUCGUUUUUUCCCCAGAAAAGGGCUUUAUUUGAGACAGAAAUACUCCUCAGUUUCAUCAGCUGUCACAGGUGAAGAAGCCGGAUGUGGAGGUCCUGGGCUGGCGUGGUUACACGUGGCCUACGGUUGUGAGGCCGGUUGGACAUACUGCCAAAUUCUCUAAAACAACAUUGGAGGUGGCUUAUGGUAGGGAAAUGAACAUUCAAUUCUGUGGCAACAGCUUUGGUGGACAUUCCUGCAGUCAGCAUGUCAAUUGCACACUCCCUCAAAACUUAAGACAUCUGUGGCAUUGUGUUGUGUGACAAAACUGCACAUUUUAGAGUGGCCUUUUAUUGUCCCCGGCACAAGGUGCACCUGUGUAAUUAUAAUGCUUUUGAAUAAACAUCUUGAUAUGCCACACCUGUCAGGUGGAUGGAUUAUCUUGGCAAAGGAGAAAUGCUCACUAAUAGGGAUGUAAACACAUUUGUGCACGAUAUUUGGGAG